UAUGACCAUGAUUACGCCAAGCUUGGUACCGAGCUCGGAUCCACUAGUAACGGCCGCCAGUGUGCUGGAAUUCGCCCUUCAGGCCUAACACAUGCAAGUCGAGCGAGACCUUCGGGUCUAGCGGCGGACGGGUUAGUAACGCGUGGGAACGUGCCCAAAGGUACGGAAUAGCCUCGGGAAACUGAGAGUAAUACCGUAUGUGCCCUUCGGGGGAAAGAUUUAUCGCCUUUGGAUCGGCCCGCGUUGGAUUAGGUAGUUGGUGGGGUAAUGGCCUACCAAGCCGACGAUCCAUAGCUGGUUUGAGAGGAUGAUCAGCAACACUGGGACUGAGACACGGCCCAGACUCCUACGGGAGGCAGCAGUGGGGAAUCUUAGACAAUGGGGGAAACCCUGAUCUAGCCAUGCCGCGUGAGCGAUGAAGGCCUUAGGGUUGUAAAGCUCUUUCAGCUGGGAAGAUAAUGAC
rnacentral:rRNA from 1 species